CCUACGGGAGGCAGCAGUGGGGAAUAUUGGACAAUGGGCGCAAGCCUGAUCCAGCAAUGCCGCGUGAGUGAUGAAGGCCUUAGGGUUGUAAAGCUCUUUUACCCGGGAUGAUAAUGACAGUACCGGGAGAAUAAGCUCCGGCUAACUUCGUGCCAGCAGCCGCGGUAAU
rnacentral:rRNA from 1 species